rnacentral:miRNA from 1 species
GCUGACACAUCCCAGCCAAUCUCCAGCAGACCCUCCCUCCGAGACCCUCCUACUUCCUGGAUAGCAUCCAUGUUGAAGCUGCCUUCAACAUGGAUGCUGUCCAGGAAGUAGGAGGGUCUGGGAGGGAGGGUCUGCUGGAGAUUGGCCGGGAUGUGUCAG